ensembl:rRNA 5S_rRNA 5S ribosomal RNA
AUUGUCAAUCAUGAAACAUUACAACCAAUAUCUUGAGCUUCUCAUGGUCAUCCACUAAAGCUAAGCAGGACUUUGCCUGGUCAGUACCAGGAUGGGAGACCACAUGGGAAAGCUAGGUUGCUGCUAAAA